rnacentral:rRNA from 1 species
UCUACGGGAGGCAGCAGUGGGGAAUAUUGCACAAUGGGGGAAACCCUGAUGCAGCCAUGCCGCGUGUGUGAAGAAGGCCUUCGGGUUGUAAAGCACUUUCAGUUGUGAGGAAAGUUUAGUAGUUAAUACCUGCUAGAUGUGACGUUAGCAACAGAAGAAGCACCGGCUAACUCCGUGCCAGCAGCCGCGGUAAUACGGAGGGUGCGAGCGUUAAUCGGAAUUACUGGGCGUAAAGCGCACGCAGGCGGUUUGUUAAGCUAGAUGUGAAAGCCCCGCGCUUAACGUGGGAUGGUCAUUUAGAACUGGCAGACUAGAGUCUUGGAGAGGGGAGUGGAAUUUCUGGUGUAGCGGUGAAAUGCGUAGAGAUCAGAAGGAACAUCAAUGGCGAAGGCAGCUCUCUGGCCAAAGACUGACGCUCAUGUGCGAAAGUGUGGGUAGCGAACAGGAUUAGAUACCCUGGUAGUCCACACCGUAAACGCUGUCUACUAGCUGUAUGUGUAUUUAAUACGUGUGUAGCGAAGCUAACGCGCUAAGUAGACCGCCUGGGGAGUACGGUCGCAAGAUUAAAACUCAAAGGAAUUGACGG